GAUGACCUCAUUGCUGAUGCUCAAGUCAGCGUCUUUUCCUCACUCGGUCGAGGAGCUGCGUUUGCUCAGGUUCUAAAUUCUGCAUUUUCAAAGAAAACAAGCAGGAGACUGAGCUUUUUUUCUCCUUUUUCUGUACUAUUUAGGGGCUUCCUUGACUCUUACGUUCUGAAAACUUGGACGUGGAUUUUGUUGGCUCAGAAACCCAAAGCCCACCAGUGACGAGCCAUGGUUAGAACUACGAAGGCACCCCAAAAACUGGUGAGGACAACCAAACCAUGGAACAAGGCUGUCCCUCAAGGAAUUUACAGACUAGCCACCGUCCGUGAUCCAGGAAAGAAGUCCUUGUCCUAUCAUUGCUACCAUCCCAAAGCAUCAGUGUUGCAGCUAAUCCGCCAGUAUCAGAAGAAGGCACCCAAGUUAUUGCUCAGCCAGCUCCCUUUUCUGCACUUCACCAAGAGGUUGGCACAUGGCAUUGAGAAGAACCUGCGGUUCCAAACCCCUGCUGUCUUGGCCCUCCAGGAGGCCUGCCAAACGUAUCUGCUUGAGCUCGCUGAGGACUGGAACUUGUGUGCUAUGCAUGCAAAAAGAGUUACUGUUUUAAACAGUGACAUUCACCUUGCCAGAUGCCUUCGACGAGAGAUGGGGAUCUGAAGGUGAAAGCCUGUUCAUUUCUAGUACCAUCAUGCUGUGGAAGAGCAAGAUAAUUAGGUAAUAGAGGAUGAUGUGAUCAAGAUAUUACCUACUGGUCCAUUUCAUAUUAAAGCAAAGAGAGGCAAGCUUCUGAAUUGGAGACAGAAGUACAAAAAUUCUCUAUAACUUAAAAACACACCUUUUCCUGCUUUGGCCUGUCCACCAAAGGCAGUCCAUCAGCUAUGCCUCUUGGUCUACUAGGUGCUACCUGGUUUGACCAAUUCCAGUUUUAGGAAAACCAGACGGGCAGCUAAAACAGCUUUACAAAGUACCUGGUGUGCUACAGCCCAAUCUGGUGGCUAGCACUUUAUACAGGGCUUUACUCCUGCCAUCCAGUCUUCAUUGAGUGACCACAAUGUAAAAACAUAGCCUCAAGCAUGGUUGAGCUUAAGAUAUUUUUCCUGUUUCUUUGUUGAUGACAAAAAGUAUUGUUGUUGCAUAGAUAAGCGUGUGGUUUUCUUCGGUUAUGAAAUUUAUUACAUGGACUGUGCACACAAAUGCUUGGAAGAAUUUUCAAGUCAUGUGUUAAGCAUGUUACUUUAUUUUUGAAGGAUUUGAUUUUGCCAAAAUUUGAUUGACAAUAUAAGCCACGUCACUUGGAUCUGGCUUUUACAACAAGCUAACUGUUCCUACUGGCUUUCAAUUAUUAUGGAAAUUAGAACCCAGAGCUAAUAAAAGGGAUUUAAGCUACA